rnacentral:rRNA from 1 species
CUGACUGCUAUCGGAUUGAUACUAAGCCAUGCGAGUCAUUGUAGUAAUACAAGGCAGACGGCUCAGUAACGCGUAGUCAACCUAACCUAUGGACGGGAAUAACCCCGGGAAACUGAGUAUAAUGCCCGAUAGAACAUUAUGCCUGGAAUGGUUUAUGUUCCAAAUGAUUUAUCGCCGUAGGAUGGGACUGCGGCCUAUCAGUUUGUUGGUGAGGUAGUGGCCCACCAAGACUAUUACAGGUACGGGCUCUGAGAGGAGUAGCCCGGAGAUGGGUACUGAGACACGGACCCAGGCCCUAUGGGGCGCAGCAGGCGAGAAAACUUUGCAAUGUGCGAAAGCACGACAAGGUUAAUCCGAGUGGUUUCUGCUAAAGGAACCUUUUGACAGUCCUAGAAACACUGUUGAAUAAGGGGUGGGCAAGUUCUGGUGUCAGCCGCCGCGGUAAAACCAGCACCUCAAGUGGUCAGGAUGAUUAUUGGGCCUAAAGCAUCCGUAGCCGGCUCUGUAAGUUUUCGGUUAAAUCUGUACGCUCAACGUACAGGCUGCCGGGAAUACUGCAGAGCUAGGGAGUGGGAGAGGUAGACGGUACUCGGUAGGAAGGGGUAAAAUCCUUUGAUCUAUUGAUGACCACCUGUGGCGAAGGCGGUC